rnacentral:rRNA from 1 species
UACGAAGGGGGCUAGCGUUGUUCGGAUUUACUGGGCGUAAAGCGCACGUAGGCGGGUUGUUAAGUCGGGGGUGAAAUCCCAGGGCUCAACCCUGGAACUGCCUUCGAUACUGGCAAUCUAGAGUCCGGAAGAGGUGAGUGGAACUCCUAGUGUAGAGGUGGAAUUCGUAGAUAUUAGGAAGAACACCAGUGGCGAAGGCGGCUCACUGGUCCGGUACUGACGCUGAGGUGCGAAAGCGUGGGGAGCAAACAGG